rnacentral:rRNA from 1 species
CUGCGAAUGGCUCAUUAUAUAAGUUAUCGUCUAUUUGAUAGUACCUUACUACUUGGAUAACCGUGGUAAUUCUAGAGCUAAUACAUGCUAAAAAUCCCGACUUCGGAAGGGAUGUAUUUAUUAGAUUAAAAACCAAUGCCCCCCGGGGCUCUCUGGUGAUUCAUGAUAACUUCUCGAAUCGCACGGCCUUGCGCCGGCGAUGGUUCAUUCAAAUUUCUUCCCUAUCAACUUUCGAUGUUUGGGUAGUGGCCAAACAUGGUUGCAACGGGUAACGGAGGGUUAGGGCUCGACCCCGGAGAAGGAGCCUGAGAAACGGCUACUACAUCCAAGGAAGGCAGCAGGCGCGCAAAUUACCCAAUCCCGAUUCGGGGAGGUAGUGACAAUAAAUACUGAUACAGGGCUCUUUCGGGUCUUGUAAUUGGAAUGAGUACAAUUUAAAUCCCUUAACGAGGAACAAUUGGAGGGCAAGUCUGGUGCCAGCAGCCGCGGUAAUUCCAGCUCCAAUAGCGUAUAUUAAAGUUGUUGUGGUUAAAAAGCUCGUAGUUGAACCUUGGGCCUGGCUGGCCGGUCCGCCUCACCGCGUGUUACUGGUCCGGCCGGGUCUUUCCCUCUGUGGAACCACAUGCCCUUCACUGGGCGUGGCGGGGAAACAGGACUUUUACUUUGAAAAAAUUAGAGUGCUUCAGGCAGGCCUAUGCUCGAAUACAUUAGCAUGGAAUAAUGAAAUAGGACGUGCGGUUCUAUUUUGUUGGUUUCUAGGACCGCCGUAAUGAUUAAUAGGGACAGUCGGGGGCAUCAGUAUUCAAUUGUCAGAGGUGAAAUUCUUGGAUUUAUUGAAGACUAACUACUGCGAAAGCAUUUGCCAAGGAUGUUUUCAUUAAUCAGGAACGAAAGUUAGGGGAUCGAAGACGAUCAGAUACCGUCGUAGUCUUAACCAUAAACUAUGCCGACUAGGGAUCGGACGAUGUUAUUUAGUUGACUCGUUCGGCACCUUGCGAGAAAUCAAAGUGC